rnacentral:rRNA from 1 species
UGGCGAGUUUGAUCCUGGCUCAGAAUGAACGCUGGCGGUAUGCUUAAUACAUGCAAGUCGAACGAAAUAUUUAGCACUUGUGUUAAAUAAUUUAGUGGCGAACGGGUGAGUAACACGUAAGAACUUACCCCUAGACGAGGUACAACAAUUGGAAACGACUGCUAAUACCUCAUAUAACCGGAAGGUGAAAGAAGCAAUUCGUCUAGGGCGAGGCUUGCGUCUGAUUAGCUAGUUGGUGAGGUAAUGGCUUACCAAGGCGACGAUCAGUAGUUGGUCUUAGAGGAUGAUCAGCCACACUGGGACUGAGACACGGCCCAGACUCCUACGGGAGGCAGCAGUGGGGAAUAUUGGACAAUGGGGGCAACCCUGAUCCAGCCAUGCCGCGUGUGUGAAGAAGGCUUUCGGGUUGUAAAGCACUUUCAGUGAGGAGGAAAACCUU